AGCGAACGCUGGCGGCGUGCCUAACACAUGCAAGUCGAACGUGAACGGGGGCAACCCUUAGUAAAGUGGCGUACGGGUGAGUAACACGUAGGUAAUCUACCAAAAAGUCUGGAAUAACCGGCCGAAAGGCUGGCUAAUACUGGAUAGAGCGACGGGAUCCGUAAUUGGGUCUUUCGGGAAAGGGAGCUCGCAAGAGCCUUCGCUUUUUGAUGAGCCUGCGUCUCAUUAGCUAGUUGGCGGGUAACGGCCCACCAAGGCAGUGAUGAGUAGCUGGUCUGAGAGGAUGAUCAGCCACACUGGAACUGAAACACGGUCCAGACUCCUACGGGAGGCAG
rnacentral:rRNA from 1 species